rnacentral:lncRNA from 1 species
GUGGUUUUUAAGAACCUGCCGGCAAGAGUUUGCCUUGCCGUCAGCCUGGUCUACUGUAUCCCAGCAUCCUCUGCUGUUGCAGACGGUGCGAGUACACUUAAGGAGCUCACAGAAUCCCAGUAGCACAAAAUUGGGCUUUGGCAAAUCAUGUAUUUUGUGUAUAGAGGGAAUCUAAGGAGAGGAAUUGCUUAUUUUCAUAUUGUAUUUUAACUGUUUCUCUGAUCAAAAUUUUUUUACUUCCUCCUCCUGUUCCUCCCCGCCCCCACGCCCACCUCCCGCUUCAGUCUCUGGAGUUCAAUGUCUUCUCUGUCCAAUCAUCUGUUUAUUUCUCCUUCCCCUACCCACGCUCCCUAUCUGUGGUCAUAAAUACUGCAUUAUUCAUCCUUUCAAACUGUGUAUUUUCUUACAAUAAAAAAUGAUGAAGAGAAAAAGGCUUCACUCCUUUUGCAUGCACUUAAAAAAAAAACUUAAAAAAGAAAACAUUUUUCAGGUUCCGAGGAAGAGCAUGAUUAACUGUCAGGGCUUUUAAUUAUAUUUGUAAAUAAAAGUGUUCGUCACAUC